rnacentral:rRNA from 1 species
CCUACGGGAGGCAGCAGUGGGGAAUAUUGGGCAAUGGACGCAAGUCUGACCCAGCAACGCCGCGUGAAGGAAGAAGGCUUUCGGGUUGUAAACUUCUUUUAAGGGGGAAGAGCAGAAGACGGUACCCCUUGAAUAAGCCACGGCUAACUACGUGCCAGCAGCCGCGGUAAUACGUAGGUGGCAAGCGUUGUCCGGAUUUACUGGGUGUAAAGGGCGUGCAGCCGGUGAGACAAGUCAGAUGUGAAAUCAACGGGCUCAACCCGUGAACUGCAUUUGAAACUGUUUCCCUUGAGUAUAGGAGAGGUAGUCGGAAUUCCUUGUGUAGCGGUGAAAUGCGUAGAUAUAAGGAAGAACACCAGUGGCGAAGGCGGAUUACUGGACGAUAACUGACGGUGAGGCGCGAAAGCGUGGGGAGCAAACAGGAUUAGAUACCCCAGUAGUC